GCACAACGCGAAGAACCUUACCUACUCUUGACAUCUACGGAAGACUGCAGAGAUGCGGUUGUGCCUUCGGGAACCGUAAGACAGGUGCUGCAUGGCUGUCGUCAGCUCGUGUUGUGAAAUGUUGGGUUAAGUCCCGCAACGAGCGCAACCCCUNUCCUUACGUUGCCAGCGAGUUAAGUCGGGAACGUCUAGGAGACUGCCGGUGAUAAACCGGAGGAAGGUGGGACGACGUCAAGUCAUCAUGGCCCUUACGAGUAGGGCUACACACGUGCUACAAUGGUACGUACAGAGGGAGGCAAGCUGGCGACAGUGAGCGGAUCUCUUAAAGCGUAUCGUAGUCCGGAUCGCAGUCUGCAACUCGACUGCGUGAAGUCGGAAUCGCUAGUAAUCGCAAAUCAGAAUGUUGCGGUGAAUACGUUCCCGGGUCUUGUACACACCG
rnacentral:rRNA from 1 species